rfam:Salmo salar isolate Sally breed double haploid chromosome ssa11, whole genome shotgun sequence.
UGCAUUCACUACUGUAAGUCGCUCUGGAUAAGAGCGUCUACUAAAUGACUAUAA